AUCCGAUAAAGGCAAACUCAGGGGAACCUGAGGACGCAAAACUACAGGGGCUAAAGUCUUGACCAGCCAGCCAGUUGCCGAA
rnacentral:ncRNA from 1 species